UCCGUAGGUGAACCUGCGGAAGGAUCAUUACAGAAAGUAAACGCGGAUCGAACCGCGAACUUCUAAACCUUUGACGAUUGACUCAUGUUGCCUCGGCGGGUUCUCCCGCCAGAGGAUACAUCAAAACUCCUGUUUUAACGGUGUUGUCUGAGCUACAAGCAACGAAUCAAAACUUUCAACAACGGAUCUCUUGGUUCUGGCAUCAAUGAAGAACGCAGCGAAAUGCGAUAAGUAGUGUGAAUUGCAGAAUUCAGUGAAUCAUCGAAUCUUUGAACGCACAUUGCGCCCCUUGGUAUCCCGAGGGGCAUGCCUGUUCGAGCGUCAUUUCACCACUCAAGCCUGGCUUGGUGUUGGGCGACGUCCCCUUUGGGGACGCGCCUCGAAACGCUCGGCGGCGUGGCACCGGCUUUAAGCGUAGCAGAAUCUUUCGCUUUAAAAGUCGGGGCCCCGUCUGCCGGAAGACCUACUCGCAAGGUUGACCUCGGAUCAGGCAGGGAUACCCGCUGAACUUAAGCAUAUCAAUAAGCGGAGGA
rnacentral:rRNA from 1 species